UGUGGAAUAUUGCACAAUGGGCGCAAGCCUGAUGCAGCCAUGCCGCGUGUAUGAAGAAGGCCUUCGGGUUGUAAAGUACUUUCAGUCGGGAGGAAGGUGGUAAGGUUAAUAACCUUAUCAAUUGACGUUACCGACAGAAGAAGCACCGGCUAACUCCGUGCCAGCAGCCGCGGUAAUACGGAGGGUGCAAGCGUUAAUCGGAAUUACUGGGCGUAAAGCGCACGCAGGCGGUUGAUUGAGUCAGAUGUGAAAUCCCCGGGCUUAACCCGGGAAUUGCAUCUGAUAAUGGUCAGCUAGAGUCUUGUAGAGGGGGGUAGAAUUCCAUGUGUAGCGGUGAAAUGCGUAGAGAUGUGGAGGAAUACCGGUGGCGAAGGCGGCCCCCUGGACAAAGACUGACGCUCAGGUGCGAAAGCGUGGGGAGCAAACAGG
rnacentral:rRNA from 1 species